UACGAACUGUGCAAACGUUAUUCGGAUUCACUGGGCGUAAAGGGUGCGCAGGCGGUUGUGUGUGUCAGGUGUGAAAGCCCGGGGCUUAACCCCGGAAUUGCGCCUGAAACUACAUGACUAGAGCAUUGGAGAGGGUAGCGGAAUUCACGGUGUAGCAGUGAAAUGCGUAGAUAUCGUGAGGAACACCAGAGGCGAAGGCGGCUACCUGGACAAUUGCUGACGCUCAGGCACGAAAGCGUGGGGAGCAAAAGGG
rnacentral:rRNA from 1 species